AUACGGAGGGGGUUAGCGUUGUUCGGAAUUACUGGGCGUAAAGCGCACGUAGGCGGAUCAGAAAGUAUGAGGUGAAAUCCCGGGGCUCAACCCCGGAACUGCCUUGUAAACUCCUGGUCUUGAGUUCGAGAGAGGUGAGUGGAAUUCCGAGUGUAGAGGUGAAAUGCGUGGAUAUCAGGAGGAACAUCAAUGGCGAAGGCAACUUACUGGACAUUUACUGACGCUCAGACACGAAGGCUAGGGGUAGCGAAAGGGAUUAGAUACCCCUGUAGUCAUAGCAGUAAACGGUGCUCGCUUGGUGUGGGAGGAUUCGACCCCUUCUGUGCCGGAGCUAACGCGUUAAGCGAGCCGCCUGGGAAGUACGGUCGCAAGACUAAAACUCAAAGAAAUUGACGGGACCCGCACCAAGCGGUGGAGUAUGUGGCUUAAUUCGAUGCAACGCGAAGAACCUUACCUAGGCUUGACAUGCUUGUCGUACUCUCCCGAAAAGGAGAGGUCACUUCGGGUGGACGAAUGCACAGGUGCU
rnacentral:rRNA from 1 species